CUCUUUUGUCCUCUUCCCAGGUUCCCUGGCCCCUUCGGAGAAACGCACUUGGUUCGGGCCAGCCGCCUGAGGGGACGGGCUCACGUCUGCUCCUCACACUGCAGCUGCUGGGCCGUGGAGCUUCCCCAGGGAGCCAGGGGGACUUUUGCCGCAGCCAUGAAGGGGGCACGCUGGAGGAGGGUCCCCUGGGUGUCCCUGAGCUGCCUGUGUCUCUGCCUCCUUCCGCAUGUGGUCCCAGCAGGCUAAGAACAGUCGCCGAGGGAAAAUAUUUCUUGGGCGCAUAUUUGAGGAGCUUCCUGGGAGUGAGUCAGAAGGCGAGUGCCGUUUAAAGGCUGCAAGAGAAGCCAUGCUGGUGAAGCGGACCCUUCCACCUCGGGAUGUUUCAGGACUAGGCUGAGGGCAAAGGAAACUGCCACCACCUCCCUACACCUCCCCACCCUCCAGCACCCCCACCCCACCCUGGCCACACAACCCCGCUCCAGUGCUCAUCCCACCGUGAGGACGUGGAGGCCGGAAGGAGCCGCCACACGGCCCUGCCCUGCAGAUGUGGUUGAAGGAGUCUCCACGGGAAUCAUGACUCCCAGAGCGAGGCUGGGGCUUGGGGCGCCGGGGAGGCAGCUUGGAUUUAGGAGCCCCAGGGCCAAGUCUUUGCCGUGAACUGUUCUGGCCCCUGUGACCAGGCCCUGCCCCGUGUCUCCCCAGGGCCCCGGUCCCCUGUGUAAAAAGCAGUGGUGAACGGUUGGACCUCCUGACGCCCAAGUUCUUGAGUUUCCAAAUCUGUGAUUUAAAGCUGAGCCCAAAUGUGCUGGGUACCAGCUGGACACUCAGCUCCAUGUGGAGCCAGGAAGUGGGGUCUGUGGAGAGGAGCGCAGAGGGGCAAGACCUGGGGUGGGCGUGGAAAAGCACGGGGGCGUGACCCGGAGAA
rnacentral:lncRNA from 1 species